UUGAACGCUGGCGGCAGGCCUAACACAUGCAAGUCGAGCGGAUGAAGGGAGCUUGCUCCUGAAUUCAGCGGCGGACGGGUGAGUAAUGCCUAGGAAUCUGCCUGGUAGUGGGGGACAACGUUUCGAAAGGAACGCUAAUACCGCAUACGUCCUACGGGAGAAAGCAGGGGACCUUCGGGCCUUGCGUUAUCAGAGGAGCCUAGGUCGGAUUAGCUAGUUGGUGAGGUAAUGGCUCACCAAGGCGACGAUCCGUACCUGGUCUGAGAGGAUGAUCAGUCUCACUGGAACUGAGACACGGUCCAGACUCCUACGGGAGGCAGCAGUGGGGAAUAUUGGACAAUGGGCGAAAGCCUGAUCCAGCCAUGCCGCGUGUGUGAAGAAGGUCUUCGGAUUGUAAAGCACUUUAAGUUGGGAGGAAGGGUUGUAGAUUAAUACUCUGCAAUUUUGACGUUACCGACAGAAUAAGCACCGGCUAACUCUGUGCCAGCCGCCGCCGUAAGAC
rnacentral:rRNA from 1 species